CUUAGUUUUUCCAAAACAAACGAGCACGCAGGAUUCUGGGGAACAACUCCAUCAAUACAUAUAUACAUAUAUAAAUCUAGAUAGAUAGAUAGAUAUACUUAUAUCUAGCUAUAUAUAUAUAUUUGCGAAUGAGCCAUCAUCUGCUAUCAGGGCUGGAGAGGUGCCAUUGUAAGGUUGGGUCGUGGUCAGGUAGCUGCCAACAACUCCUCGACAGAGGCAAGGCGUGUCAGGGAUACCCUCAACAAAUUCUUUGUGGCAGAGGGAGCAGAACCAUGGUGACCCACAGCAUGACUGAACAGUUCUUUUCAGGACAAAAUUUCAAAGGCUUUUUUCAAAGUCACCCACAAACCUCUUAAGAGCAAACCUUCCUUCAUCCUAUGUGUACAUGAAUGUUUGUGUCCUUUUUAUAUAUGUUCUGUUUGCAGAUUGUAGGUUUUGUUGUCCUUUCCUUCUUUGCAGGGACUCCACUGGAACUCAAUGCACAUCCUGACAAGGUCAUCUAUUGUGUCCUCCUGUGGCUACUCUCUGUACUGUGUGACCUCCACAUUAUGGAUGCUUCCUCCAGAACAGGGGUCUCCAACUCCAGUCCUCCAGAGCUACCACCCAGAAACUUCAAAAUUAUCUGAUCCAUUAUCUGAUCUUAUGCUUGCCACAGGACUUCUUCUGCUAAUAAAUCUUCUUACAGCAUUUAUGCAGUAGUCUGUAUCGAGAGAAUGUGCCACUUCAAGAUGUACAGCAUGCCUACUCAAACAGGUGAAAAUGACUCCAUACUUGUUUAGAAUGGUUCGUCCUCUUUUUACAUUGUAGCCCUAAAUAAUCCACUCCCACAUCUGUAAACGGGGCCGUCUGGCAAAACUCUCUCCUUAGGCAGCAUGUGAUUGCGACCAGCGUGUCCAAGUUGUUGAUGGAUAUGAAGUAAUAUCAGCUGGGAAACAUGAAAAUCUUCGGAUAGGAUCACAGGAUGCUUUACUUCCAACGGCAGUGCAGAUUUAGACAGGCGACCACCAACUCUGAGUGUGCCAUCCUCCAAAAAAGGAUCAAG